rnacentral:lncRNA from 1 species
CCUUAGGGUUUACCAACCUAGGGUCUCCUAGGUCGUCCUAGACUCUCUCUUUACUUGCUCUGGUGCUCUGAUACUACUUUAUCUGUCACGCCCCGAGACCGCUACCAAUUUGGCUCGGCCCGGGCGCGUCGAACAGACGCCGGGCGGACAGGACCUCUCCUGUCCGUCCAAGGCUAACCAAUAGAUAAUGUAUAAGAAUUUACCCAGGAAUCAAUUCAUAAAUACACGAUCAAGAAGCACCACCAGUGCUACAAACAAGAGCAAGAUACAAGUACGAAAACAUAUACAAGUACAUAAGAGAGAAGAGGCUAUCUAUUACAUUCAUUUGAUUUACUACAUUUAAAUACAUCUUUUACAUUCUUCCAAAAUAUAAAUACAAGCACUCAACCCUCACCCUAUACAACAUCUACUCUCAAAUACAAAAAGGGGUGACGGCUAAUGCAAGAAAAGGAGGUAGCUAAUGCGACUAGAACGCCGGGCCCUUACCGCGAUCCUCACGCUCACCGGGGAUGCCCGAACUGGAACCUGUGGUAAAAUGGGGGUGAGAACUAACUUCCUUAGUUCCCAGUGGGUUCGGCCGCCGACUCCGCCGAUCUCCCCACUAGGUCCAAGCGGGCACAAGUAGAUAUACCAAUAGAUAGAUAGAUAGAUAGAUAAGGAAAGCGGUAGAUGCCAGAAGUAAAGCUACUCUACUAUGCCCAAUCAUAAUAUAUGAAUGCAUGUACAAGGAAUUAGAUAAACGACUAACCCAUCAUCAUGUCCAAAGGCAAAGCUAUUUACUUGUCCAUUAAUCUCACGGCUUACCCGAAGGCUCGCCUACAGCUCACUAGCCAUCUCGACACGUAGGGAGAAUCAACUCGCACUACGGACCCGAGACCGUCUGGCGGGGCCAUAUAGGCAAUCCCUGGCGUGACCAACAUCCGGAGCGCACUACUUGUGUGGGGCUUCCAUCACAAGAUUUAACAGACCGUGAGCAUGAUCCAAUCCUCUAAGCUCGAGGAUACCCUGUCCUCUAGAGUCACAAUCAUCAUAUAGUCCAUAGGUGUCACAUACACUAUUAACUAGAUUGUCCGUUUGUUCGCUAUCGACUGGAUGCCACUCGUUCAUGGUUUACUAUUGACUAGAUGCCACUCAUUCAUAGUUCAUCAUUUCCUUUACAUUAUAGGAUUCACAA